AGGCAGCAGGGCCCGCACCGCCGUCGCAGAAGAGGGCGCGCCGCCAAAGCUGAAGACUCCUUUUGCGCAGACCCGUGAGGCGGCACGGCGACGGCAGCAACCUUUUUCUCCAACCUGUUUCCGUUUGAGAUACAAGGACUGCUUCUUGCCAUCCUUUUUCUCUCUGGAUUUGGACUGGGACGUGUUUCUGACUUUCUGUCUACGGGUUACAGCAAAGGUUUCUUGGUUUCUUCAGAUGUCUGCGGGGUAGGCAAGAUAUGUUUGCCAUGCUGCCCGCCGUGAGGGGAGACACCGCCCAGGCACGAGCACCGGCGCCGCCGAGAAGCUCGUCCAUGGCCACGGGCCUGUCACCAUCGGAGAGUGCAAGAAGAAAGCUCCGAGGAAGAUCCACAAAGCCGAGAGGGAGAAGCAUGAGCGCGAUCUGCUCAAUGAUCUCUUCAGUGAACUUGGCGAAAUAGGUCACUAACCUCGACACCUCCUAGAUUAUGUCACUGCCAGCGUUGCUUCAGUUACCCUGUCUCUGAAUUUUGGGGAUCGUUUCCUUUGGAAUGUUAGAGCUGAGCGUGGGUAUGUGUGAAUCUGCAUUGUGUUGUUACCAUCCAUUUCCAUGGCUUUUGGGGUGAGUACUGGGGUUCAGUACGUGUCAUGGAUUGCCUUAGUAGAUCCCAGUGAAUGUUUAUGCUGAUGAAAAGGUGUAUGAGCUCAUUCAAAAUUAGUAACAAAUGUCCAACAUAUAAAAUUGUGUAUUACCUGCAUCCAUUAAUUUCAAUCUUUUUCUAAUCCAUCUGCCUCAGACAUGCAUCUUGAACCAAGCUGUAUGUUCCUUGGAGUCUAUUGUUUCUUACAUUGCACCAUGUGUGUCGCGGGGUCGAGGAAAAGGCCAGCGUUGACAUGAUGUGCAGACGCUAACGCAAUCUCCAGCCAACCCACGUGGCGGGCGGCGCGCGGGCUGGAAGCGUGACGGGUCGUUCUUGGUAUGGAGAAAGGGACAAGAGAGAAACCCCAGACCUGUGUGCUGAUGCGAGCCCACAUCAUAGGCUAUUACAACUAUUUUGGUCAGCUGCAAGGACAAAGAUAAUGGGGAAAGAUGCAAAGAUAUUCAGUGAAGCUGCAGGUAGGCUGGUUGAUAAGUGAACCAGUUCAAUUUUCAUUGUACCAUUUAUAUCAAAAUCUUGAAUGAGUUUUUGUUGGUUGUUCAGUGACUAAGCUUCUGUUGGUUAAUCUGAAGUUGAAUUGUACUCUGGAUAAAGUCAUUUUCUGAUACGGUAGCUAAUUGCUUUUUUUUUUUGCACAUUCUAAUUUAAAAAAGAAGCAUUAACAAAUCAUACAUGGUUCCAAGCAGAAAAUAAACUAAAUGUAGCCCAUUUCUUUAGUAUUAGGAUUUCUAAACUGUUGUCCCAAAAACAUACAAGGACACGUUUCUAAUUUCAGAUUUGGCUUUUGGAUUUUUCUAUGAACAAGCCAUGUACAAUUACAUAGGCUGCCGUGUAUAGUACACAGAAAGAACAAAUGAAACGGGCUUGCAGAUUCAGUUUUCAUUUGCACUUUAUCAUAGUUAAUGCUUCCUGUUAAAACAAGCCACUUAGAAUGAUCUGCUUUUCUGUAGCCUCUCUAAUGUUUGUGGUUUUGAAGUACACAUCUACCACUUUUUAAACACUUCUUAUGAUCCAUAUAAAAUUUGGUGAAUCGAAGAGUUUGUUUCAUGAUUUUUAACAUACUGAAAUUAAAUGUUUGGCUUAUAUUUGACGAGCUUGCUCUUUUUGAAAAUUGACAGCUAAAGGUAAAUAAAUGCCAUUGGUAUGUUCUAAUUUCUAUCAUCCAUCGCUGCAAAUAUAUUCUAACUCAAUACAGCAGUUUCUUAUGUUUUUUUGGUUCGUCUUCACUCGUCCAGCAAAUUUCUGCUUAUAUUUCAGUUGAACACUUUUGAGCAAGCUGUUCUUUAUUUUGCCAGUGCGUAGAUGCGGAACCGCGAGCAGCAGCCAGGUAUACUCAGCUUUGUUGCUGCCGCUCCUUUUCCUCCCUCCCUUUCUUUCUUAUAUAGGUUUCCAUCUAAUGGUAGCUCUCUCUCUCUCUCUCUCUCUCUCUCUCUCUCUUUUUUAUGUCUCUAUUUUUUAAACAGCAGAACAAACUACCAUACGUACACACUGAAAUUGAUUCUGUUGUAAGCUUAUUUCACUUUUUUCCUUCUAAUCCAUCAAGGAAUGGCUGUAAUGAAUAUUUACUACAAGAGAACAAAUGUAGACCUUGAUCUGUUGUAGUAUAUGGCUACAUUCAAGACAACAAGAAUAUGCUUUUGGAGCCUGUUGAACCUUGAUCUGAAUUGCUGGUCGUGUCUGGGUCAUCGGCCAUUCACCUUGUAAAGCUGACCGUUCUCUGUUAAUAUAGAAUUGUUUGUAUCUAUAUGAAACUACUAAACUUCCUCUGCUCUAUGUUCUAUGAAUGAACAUUCGUCUGCUGCAGCUCUAUUACCAUGCCUUAUAUUUUUAAUCACUAACAUGCCACUGUUUCAUCUGCAUUGCCAAAGACGUUACCAAAUUCUCCAGCAUGUUUAGUGUGCCCAGUCACGCAGAGGAAGUGAACCGCAAAUGCACAUCCACCAAACUACUGGAAUUUGAGCAACGCAUGAAGCCCAGAGGGCUCCUUAUUCUUGGCAUGGAGCAUGAUGAGCUUGGCGAACGCGCCAAAACGGCUUCACGGCCUGGAGCAGAUCGCUCUGGACGCAAGCAGAACACCGAGAAGAUCAAACCUUGAGCCAGAGAACAGAAAACCCGGGCAAGAAAUUCCGCCAAACAGCUCAACCUGCUGAUGUUGUUUCUUAUGUGAUCAGCAGAGUAACCUGCAAUGAAGGAUUCUGAGGAAACUUUGCUUGCUAUGAUUGCCAAUAAAAAUCCUCUUUGCAAUUAUCUUUUGACUUAUAAUUAUGUCUGUCAUUUCUGAUGUUGUGACUGCA